rnacentral:lncRNA from 1 species
GGUGUUUCAUUGGAAGGACCUUGUAGAGCAUGUCCCCAGGAGCUGCCUUCCUAGCGGACUGGGACUACUUGUCAGAUGUCGAGGCCGGGAACCGGUUUGGAGAUUCUUGUGUGAUCGUUUGAGGGUGUAUGGACAUCCACAGAGUGUCACUGCUUAGCCAGUGUGGUCCAUCUUGUUAGACCAUGACUGUGCAUGCAUGGCCA